rnacentral:rRNA from 1 species
ACGGAGGGAGCUAGCGUUGUUCGGAAUUACUGGGCGUAAAGAGUACGUAGGCGGUUAUUCAAGUCAGAGGUGAAAGCCUGGAGCUCAACUCCAGAACUGCCUUUGAAACUAGAUAGCUAGAAUCUUGGAGAGGUGAGUGGAAUUCCGAGUGUAGAGGUGAAAUUCGUAGAUAUUCGGAAGAACACCAGUGGCGAAGGCGACUCACUGGACAAGUAUUGACGCUGAGGUACGAAAGCGUGGGGAGCAAACAGGAUUAGAUACCCUGGUAGUCCACGCCGUAAACGAUGAUAACUAGCUGUUCGGGCUCUACGAGCUUGAGUGGCGCAGCUAACGCAUUAAGUUAUCCGCCUGGGGAGUACGGUCGCAAGAUUA